rnacentral:rRNA from 1 species
UACGAAGGGGGCUAGCGUUGCUCGGAAUCACUGGGCGUAAAGAGCUCGUAGGCGGCUCAGUAAGUCAGGUGUGAAAACUCCAGGCUCAACCUGGAGACGCCACCUGAUACUGCUGUGGCUAGAGUCCGGUAGGGGAGCAUGGAAUUCCUGGUGUAGCGGUGAAAUGCGCAGAUAUCAGGAGGAACACCAGUGGCGAAGGCGGUGCUCUGGGCCGGAACUGACGCUGAGGAGCGAAAGCGUGGGGAGCAAACAGG